GACGAACGCUGGCGGCGUGCCUAAUACAUGCAAGUAGAACGCACAGUUUAUACCGUAGCUUGCUACACCAUAGACUGUGAGUUGCGAACGGGUGAGUAACGCGUAGGUAACCUGCCUGGUAGCGGGGGAUAACUAUUGGAAACGAUAGCUAAUACCGCAUAAUAUUGAUUAUUGCAUGAUAAUUAAUUGAAAGGUGCAAUUGCAUCACUACCAGAUGGACCUGCGUUGUAUUAGCUAGUAGGUGAGGUAACGGCUCACCCAGGCGAAGAUACAUAGCCGACCUGGGGAGGUGGUCGGCCACACUUGGAAUGGAGAACGGCCCCAAAUCCUUCGGGAGGCAGCCGGAGGGGAACUUCGGUAAUGGACGAAAGGCUGACCGGGCAAAGCCGCGUGAGGGAAGAAGGGUUUCGGGUCGGAAAGCUCUGUUGUAAGGGAAGAACGGGUGUGAGAGUGGAAAGUUCACACUGUGACGGUAUCUAACCAGAAAGGGACGGCUAACUACGUG
rnacentral:rRNA from 1 species